rnacentral:rRNA from 1 species
UACAUAGGAACAUACCCAGUCUUGGGGGAUAACGCCGAUGAAUCGGGGCUAUUACCGCAUUCGCCCUACGGGGGAAAGCGGGGGAUCUUCGGACCUCGCGUUAUUGGAUUGGCCUAUGUCUGAUUAGCUAGUUGGUGAGGUAAAGGCUCACGAUCGCGACGAUCACCUCCUGGUCUGAGAGGAUGAUCAUCCACACUGGAACUGAGACGCGGUCCAUACUCCUACGGGAGGCAACAGUGGGGAAUUUUGGACAAUGGGCGAAAGCCUGAUCCAUCCAUUCCGCGUGAGUGAAAAAGGCCUUCGGGUUGUAGAGCUCUUUCUGGAGGAAGGAAAUGGUUGCGGUUAAUAACCGCGACUUCUGACGGUGCCUGAAUAAGAAGCACCGGCUAACUACGUG